UCGACCACAGAUACAUGAAAAUUAAUACGCCAUCCCGUCCGCUCUGGCCUCGUCAAGCAUGUAAUCGCCAGAUUAGUAGUUGAGUCGGUGACGAUCAGCGAAUUCCUGGUGUUGAAUGUU